UAUGUACUCCCUCCGUUCGGAAUUACUUGUCACAAAAAUGGAUGUAUCUACAACUAAAAUACAUCUAGAUACAUUCAUUUAUUGGACGAGUAAUUCCGAACGGAGGGAGUAGCUC
rnacentral:pre_miRNA from 1 species